GCCGUUGUCAUUGGGGAGUAGCCAUCUUCGGCCCCGCCGAAGAGGCCGCGUCAACAAACUUGAGGAGCUUUCCUCAUGGCGCGGUCAGCGGCCGGCAUUGCCGGCGCCGCCAAGCGAGACCUUUGGCCACGAUGCGUUUGCCGCC
rnacentral:sRNA from 2 species